GACGAACGCUGGCGGCGUGCCUAAUACAUGCAAGUCGAGCGCAGGAAGCUGACGGAACUCUUCGGAGAGAAGGCAGUGGAAUGAGCGGCGGACGGGUGAGUAACACGUAAGGAACCUGCCUCAAGGAUUGGGAUAACUCCGAGAGAUCGGAGCUAAUACCGGAUAGUUCAACGGACCGCAUGGUCCGCUGAUGAAAGGCGCUUCGGCGUCACCUUGAGAUGGCCUUGCGGUGGAUUAGCUAGUUGGUGGGGUAACGGCCCACCAAGGAGACGAUGAAUAGCCGAACUGAGAGGGUGAUCGGACACACUGCGACUGAGACACGGCCCAGACGCCUACGGGAGGCAGCAGUAGGGAAUCUUCCAAAAUGGACGAAAGUCUGAUGGAGCAACGCCGCGUGAGUGAUGAAGGUUUUCGGAUCGUAAAACCCUGUUGUAAGGGAAGAACACGUACGAGAGGGAAUGCUCGUACCUUGACGGUACCUUACGAGAAAGCCACGGCUAACUACGUGCCAGCCGCCGCCGUAA
rnacentral:rRNA from 1 species